AAGACUCUGAUGCUGGGAGGGAUUGGGGGCAGGAGGAGAAGGGGACAACAGAGGAUGAGAUGGCUGGAUGGCAUCACCAACUUAAUGGACACCACUUAGUCCAUCUGUGAGUUUUUUUAAAUUUUGUCAUAAAUCUCCAAAAGAUUUUCCAACAUAUUUAUUGAAAAAAAUCCAUGCAUAAGUGGACUCUCACAGUUUGAACCCAUGUUGUUCAAGGGUGACCCAUUGUUCCUUUUGGAAAGCCCUACAGGACAACCUUCAGCCAACCAAGAGAGGAUGGAGAAUUUGGAGCGGUACAUUCAUUAGAUCAGAGCAUAACGCAAAAGACGACAAAGAAGACUCUUGUCCAGAAACUUACUGAAGACAACUGACAAAAGUUGAAAGUGAAGCUUGUCAGAGGGGACAGCCAAAAUGAGAAAGCGAUGGCUCUGCAUUAAGAGAAUACAGAGAAAACUGCCUGGACUGGGCUAAUCUGGAGAAGCAGCCAGACCUCAGAGAAACUAAAACAGCAAUGGAGGCAGAGAGAGGUUAAGUAGCAUGCCUUGGCCUACACAGCAAGCGGUUGUGCUGAGACAUGCAUGCUGACAGCCUGGUUCCAGCGCCCAUGCGCAAACCCUUAUGUAAACAGGUGAUUUAAAUCAGUCAACAGAUAAGCCUGAAUCUUUAUAUAAAUGGAACUGCUCAUCUCUUCUCCAUUACAUCCAGAGAUAUAAAAAUCUCUAUUGAAUAUUACACAUGCACUCUGGAGAUCAGAUCACUGAAACUGUGAACUUAUUCUUCAUUUUAAUAUGAUGUAAUUGUCUUGGACAGAUAUGCAGGAAGCACCUGAAGAUGACUUUAUAUCUUGCCAUGUGCUUGAAACAAACUGAUGGAUAUUCUCAUGUAUUAAUGAGAAAGACCCAGGUCAGUUAUAUUACAGAUAAUAAAACAUUUACUCUUAAUCCUUGGAGGUUAUUCAAAGACUACACAGUUAAUUGCACAGACGUGUGUAUUUUGUUUCCAG
ensembl:lncRNA